UAGGGAAUCUUCCACAAUGGGGCGAAAGCCUGAUGGAGCAACGCCGCGUGUGUGAUGAAGGGUUUCGGCUCGUAAAACACUGUUGUAAGAGAAGAAUGACAUUGAGAGUAACUGUUCAAUGUGUGACGGUAUCUUACCAGAAAGGACGGCUAAAUACGUGCCAAC
rnacentral:rRNA from 1 species